UACGGGGGGGGCAAGCGUUGUUCGGAAUUACUGGGCGUAAAGGGCUCGUAGGCGGCCAACUAAGUCGGACGUGAAAUCCCUCGGCUUAACCGGGGAACUGCGUCCGAUACUGGAUGGCUUGAGUUUGGGAGAGGGAUGCGGAAUUCCAGGUGUAGCGGUGAAAUGCGUAGAUAUCAGGAGGAACACCGGUGGCGAAGGCGGAUCUCUGGGCCUGUCCUGACGCUCAGGCGCGAAAGCUAGGGGAGCAAACAGG
rnacentral:rRNA from 1 species